rnacentral:tRNA from 1 species
AGCUCAGCUGGAUAGAGUACUCGGCUACGAACCGAGCGGUCGGAGGUUCGAAUCCUCCGCAAA